AAUGCACACACACAUCAACAUCCAAACAAUUGCCUCUAAAAUUUGACAACGGCAGAAACAGAUUGGCAUUCAGAGAGACAAUUUUUUGGAAGUUGAUGAUGUGUGUGUGUU
rnacentral:miRNA from 1 species